UGGCCGGAGGCUCUGCUUCCCAGCCUAUCAGAAUGGCCACCCUGCAGGAUACAACCCUUUAGGAGAAAUAAAGCUCUCCUUUCCAAAUGCAUGAACCUUGUCAUUCUUCAGCUGACGGCACUAUUUUCCACUGUCUUCCUCUUCCCUGGGUUGCUCAAGUUCACACAGAUGUGUCCUCACCAGGACCUCACAGUCAAAGAGACUUUUCUGUCUUUCUGUGUCAGUUUGAUGGGAGACCAGAUUCCAACCACUAGACACGGCUGCGUCCCUGAAGGCCCGGCUGCUGCAGGCCUCCCUCGAUCUGGCCAGGAAUGACUCCUUUCCUCCUCUAUUGCUAUCAGGAGAGGUAGGAGGUGUUAGAGAGACCUCCCCUGCCCACCACACACACCUUCCAGCUUGAGGCUGCCUAAAGAUCCCUCAGAAACCCCUGACCUUGUCCCUUCCCUUCCCCCUCCUCCUUGUUCUCCACGCUCUGACCAAGUGGAAUUUUCCCCUUCACCACUUCAGGGUCACUUGGUAAAGAUUAGUUGGGCAGAAAAGUCAGGGUUGGAGGAAGGGUGUAUUUGGAAAGAGGGCUGGGCUGGAGAUGAGGAAACUUGGGGUCCAGAAGCUGCUCUGCCACACUCCAGCUCACUGACCCUGGUCAAGUUGCCUCACCCACUUGGGCCUCUCUUUCCUCAUUUGCCUAAUAAACGUUUGAAAUCCCUACACUACUCUUAAAGUGUCUACAACAUUUAAAAGCAAAUUGCCCCUAUUAGAAAUCUGGGGCCGC
rnacentral:lncRNA from 10 species